rnacentral:hammerhead_ribozyme from 1 species
AUUCAGCUGACAAGUCCCAAAGACGAAACGCGAGUCCUGAAU